AGUGAACGCUGGCGGCAUGCCUAACACAUGCAAGUCGAACGAUCUUUGGCAGUUUAUCGUCAGAGGUAGUGGCAAACGGGUGAGUAAUACGUGGACAAUCUUCCCUCGAGCGGGGGAUAACUCCGGGAAACCGGAGCUAAUACCGCGUGAGACCACGUCCUGGCAUCAGGAUGGGGUUAAAGCUCCGCAAGGGGCACUUGAGGAGGGGUUCACGGCCUAUCAGCUAGUUGGCGGGUUAAAGCCACCAAGGCGACGACGGGUAACCGGUCUGAAAGGACGACCGGUCACAAUGGCACUGAGACACGGGCCAUACUCCUACGGAGGCAGCAGUGGGGAAUUUUGCUCAAUGGGGGCAACCCUGAUCCAGCCAUGCCGCGUGAGUGAAGAAGGCC
rnacentral:rRNA from 1 species